GCAUGGUAAUGGAUUUAUGAUGGGUCAUUCCAUGCCAGAAUGAAUUGCAUUCUGAAACCAUUGCAUAGCUUUUCUACCUGUGGACUGUGAGCACUGAAGAAGGUUGUACAAGU
rnacentral:snoRNA from 1 species